rnacentral:rRNA from 1 species
CAGCCGCCGCGGGAAUACGAAGGGUGCAAGCGUUACUCGGAAUUACUGGGCGUAAAGCGUGUGUAGGUGGUUGUUUAAGUCUGUCGCGAAAGCCCUGGGCUCAACCUGGGAAUUGCGAUGGAUACUGGGCGACUAGAGUGCGGUAGAGGAUAGUGGAAUUUCCGGUGUAGCAGUGAAAUGCGUAGAGAUCGGAAGGAACGUCUGUGGCGAAGGCGACUAUCUGGGCCAACACUGACACUGAGACACGAAAGCGUGGGGAGCAAACAGGAUUAGAUACCCCUGUAGUCCCUGUCUCUUAUAC